UGUCCCGAUGAUCAAAUAUUAAAUUAUUCACGGUUCUACUAACCAUUAUAGUGACUUAUUGCCCUUAUAGCAAGUCUAUCAAUUAGGUAAUAUAUAGUUAUAAUUUUUCUGUAAUUUAGAAAAUAUAUUCAAUAAUAAUUAUCAAAAUACGUGGUUAAAUUUGAUUGCGGUAUAAUUUUUUUUCGUAAUUAUAUAAUUUUGACUUUUUUUUAUAUAGUAGUUUUAAUUUUUGAGUUAUGAACAAGUUAUAACUGCAAGAAGUUAUUUAGUUUUCAAUAGUUUAUUUAUGCCUUUUAAAAUACACCUAUGAAUCUAACUUAACCAUAGCACCUAACUCUCAUCAGUGCAGCUGCGUACGAAGUGAUUAUGAAUAUACGAGAGUACGAGACUGGUAAAAACUUGAUUAUGUUUUUAUUUUCAAUUCCUAUGUAUUCUAAAUAUUACACGAAAUUUAUCCAAUUAUAUAAACUCGGAUAAUAUUCUAAAUUAAUUUUCAAAUAAAUAAAAACAUAUAUAUAUAUUAUAUAUAUAUUAUUACAUAAAUAAAAAUAUGUAGGUACAAAUGUACAAUAAGAUGUAACAAUUUACCUCACAUGCAAUUUGAGAAAUAUACUCAUAUUUUGAACUAACAUAUCACUCAUAACUCAUAAAUAUUACAUCAUACGUAUACUUUAGAAGAAUAAAUUAUUUUAUUGGUACCGCUACUUUAUAGUUUAUACUGUAUUCUGUAAAAUAAAUAAAGAAUUAUUUCAAAAACUUCUAUCAGGAAUUUUUAAAAACAUUUUCGGAAUUCUAUACCUCCCUGUUAUUGAAGUGAUUCCCAAAAAUCUUUGAUUGCUUUUGAAUUUAUUCGUUAUAUUAAGUUUAAAAGUUAAACAUUUCUAUAGUUUCUCUAAUUUUGAACGAGUAAUAGCGUAUAAUUACUAGAACUCCAAUUUUAAAGCAUAUGCUUCUUUUUUUUAUAUACGAGAUGGAAAUCUAAUUUUUAUACAUAAAUUCGUUUCACGACAUUCUGAUUCCAAAUAAACCAAUUUAUUUUUGCUUUUUAUUAUUUUUCCAAUUACUCCAUCUGUAAAUUUUUUCAUGUUUAUUAUGCUAUUGUAAUAAUAAAAAAAAAAAUAAAAAAAUAUUAAUUAAUAAGAAAUGGAAAAACCCAGAAUGCGAACUAAAUGGUUAUAUUGGAUUAUUUUUGUUUUCGUUAUCGACUUGAUUAUUAAAUGUAUGAAACAUAGAUUAUUAAUUUACAUAUAGCCAGCAGUAUCUAUACGGUCAGUAUGCCUAUAACAUCGAUAUCGACCAUUUCAAAAUUUAAGUUUUAGUGUUGUAAUUUUAAAUCUCUUGUAUGAAGUAUGACUAUGCACCGAUCACUUCAGUGGAUGUAGAGAGUUCAUUUUCUAUAUAUAAAAAUAUUCCGUCGGACAAUAGUCAGUUUCACUACCAACUGUAAAUCUAAGGAAAUACAUGACAGUCGUGACAGUGUAAUUUGAUUUUGAUUGAUGGCAGACCAGUAUUAAAACCAAAUUAAGAUGAGGUGAUCCAAUAUAAUUGGACUUACAAGACUGAUGAACAGUAAUUAUCUACAAUACACACUACACAGAAGGUCGACUAUACAUCUAUACGCUUAUACCCGUGGGGUAUUAGUGCAAGUAGUGCAACUGAAAUAAAUUCAUUUAAAAGAAAACACAAAUCUAACGAAUUGGAAAUCAGUCAAAGGACAUUAAUCAGAUAAGAUCGGUAAAGUAAUGCUUGUUAGACAUUUAUGGAUGUCACCUAUUAUGCUUGUACCUUGAUAAAAUUUAUCAAUAUAGAUAAAAUUUAUACUACUUAAAAUGCACAUUUUUUAUAAUUUAUAAUAUAUACUGAAUACUGAUUGGCUUUUACACAUUUUCUAUACAUCGAUUUAUUUAUUCAACAGUUAAAUGACCAAUUUUCUUGUCAUAAAAAUAUAUUUAAGGCGAGUAAUAAAACAAUUUAAACAAUUUGUUUUUAUUAGAUAUACCAAUUUAAAAUAAUGGUUUUUAGGUUUUCAGUGUUUAUUUUCUAGAUCAUAUUCUGAAGAUUUUUGUAAGCUCAUUCAGUUUUAUCUUAAUACUGACAAACAAACUGUUUUAUCAGAGUUGAAUUUAUGGUAUACUAAAAAAAUAAUGGACAGCAUCUUGAAAAUGGAUUGGAGGCAUUGGGAUUUUGCGAGAAGGAACUAUUUUCAAUUAUUAAUUUUUUAAUUCAACUUCUAUAUACUUUACCAUUGUUUACAGUAACACCAAAACGAACAUUUUUAAGAUUAAAAAGGCUGAACACUUAUUUAAAAAGCACAAUGGCUGAAGUAUUUCUAAUACUUAUGAUUGCUAAAAUAUCAUAUUUAUUCGUAUUUACUAUUUAUACUCCGUGCACGUUAAGAGCAUGACCGGAUGAGCAGCUGAAACAACUUCCUCCACUAUGCAGCUCGCCUUAGAAAGCCAACCCACAUUUGUAUAUGGACUGAUUUUCGUGUUAAGAGUAGUAAUAGUAUGACAGUUCAUGUUGUUGAUAUUUGAGUAAGCGCUGCAUACCGGUGACAAAGUGUUUGAGGAACCAAUCAGAACCCGAUUGCGCUUAACAAACGCAAAAUCGUCCGCUGCCCAAUCGUGCUCUUAAUGUGCACGAAGUAUAGGAAAAUAUUUUUUAGACUCCAAUUAACGGACGACAAUGUUAUAUAUUAACAAAGAUAUGCUGACUGACAGCUGAAGAAGUACUCGACGAACUGGCUUAAAAAUCUUGCAAAGUUGAUUAUAUGUUCUCUGAUUUAGUAUUAUAAUUUACAAGUUGAAUUAAACAAGUAUUUUGUGCUCCAA